rnacentral:tRNA from 1 species
GGAGAAGUGGCCGAGUGGUUUAAGGCGCCGGUCUUGAAAACCGGAAACGUAAAACGUUCUAGAGUUCGAAUCUCUACUUCUCCG